UGGGGGAUAUUGCACAAUGGGCGAAAGCCUGAUGCAGCGACGCCGCGUGGGGGAUGAAGGCUUUCGGGUUGUAAACCUCUUUCGCUAUCGAACAAGGCCCGCUUAGGGUGGGUUGAGGGUAGGUGGAGAAGAAGCGCCGGCUAACUACGUGCCAGCAGCCGCGGUAAUACGUAGGGCGCGAGCGUUGUCCGGAAUUAUUGGGCGUAAAGGGCUUGUAGGCGGCUUGUUGCGCCUGCUGUGAAAACGCGGGGCUUAACUUCGCGCGUGCAGUGGGUACGGGCAGGCUUGAGUGUGGUAGGGGUGACUGGAAUUCCAGGUGUAGCGGUGGAAUGCGCAGAUAUCUGGGGGAACCCCGAUGGCGAAGGCAGGUCACUGGGCCAUUACUGACGCUGAGGAGCGAAAGCAUGGGUAGCGAACAGG
rnacentral:rRNA from 1 species